rnacentral:lncRNA from 1 species
GAUAUUUCCUGGUUUUUAUGUGCCUAGGUAGGCAGGGAUUGAAUCACUGUGUGCAGACUGUGGCACAGGCGCCUGGGGGUGAGGGUGUGCCAGGUGUGCAGACAGGGCAGGCACAGACACAGGUUUGCUCUCCUAGCUAUUGCAAUACAAAUAAAGGAGUGAUCCUGACUACUUCAAGAAACCUGGAGUGUCAUGUCACUGAUUUAAGAAAGAAGGGCAAGCAAAAUUCUGCCAGAACAUGAGAAAUCUCUGCUGACAGGAUUACACACAGUCCCAGCAAUGGCUGAGUGCACAUCAAAUUUAGAAGAAAAAGCCUGAAUUAGGAUUUGGACUGUGGAAAUAAGGGAAGAUUUUGUUAUUUGCUGCCAGGACUGCCAUUAGUAAAUGGUGCUAAAAAUAGCAGUCACAAAAAAUCAGCAGAAGACUGCCAGUCUAUGAACAAAGGAACAGCACUGUAGCACAGAGCUGCUGAAGCUGUAACCCAACUGACUCAUUGUCAAUGCUGCAUCAGGUUUGGGAGCUGAAACAGGGGCUUCCCUGCAAAUUUCAUAAACUGCCUAUGACUCAGCCUAAAAUCACAUGAAUCAAGCAGCUGUUCUGCUUCUGUAAGGAACUGGUGCAUAGUUCAAAUCACUGUAUUUCCUCUGGUUUGUUUCUUCCCAAAAGUAGAAGAGCCCUGAGCAAGAAGUAGUAAAGUAGUAAAACUUUAUUUUCUGUGGUUCUAGAAACAUUUCCAGCUAUUGCUCUUCCUUUCAGCAUCAUAUUUUUUUAUUCCAACCUUUCAGCAUAUUUUCUUUGUUUGACCUGAACUUUCAAACCUACUUUGAGGUUGCAGUUUAAUACUGACAAUUGAGUGUAUUUCAUGUACUUAUGUCAGUCUGGUUUUAUGAAAGUGUUUUACUCUUUCAACUAGAGUGCCUGGAAAAAUAGCCUCAAAGAAAAACUAAGUGGUAGUUCAGGCUCAGGACCUUUUAUUUGUUCUCUUUUUAAGUAGUGCUGUGGAAUUAUGUAGAACAGCUGAAUAGCAGGCUUUUUGCUAGCACCUGACUACAGACAAUAGUUGUCAGUCAUCUCUCACAACCAUGCAUGAUUCUAAGGUACCUUUCCCCAGGCAAUCUGCUCUGCUGCUCUUUUAUCUGAGUACCUCAUUUCUGCAAUUCUCAAAAGAAGUGUUAUCAUACCUUUCUGUGAAGGAAUCCUUCCAAUUUUAUAUAGCUAAGCUGAGGUACCCAUUAAAGCAGC